AGUGAACGCUGGCGGUAGGCCUAAUACAUGCAAGUCGAACGACAGCACAGUAAGAGCUUGCUCUUACGGGUGGCGAGUGGCGGACGGGUGAGGAAUACAUCGGAAUCUACUUUUUCGUGGGGGAUAACGGAGGGAAACUUACGCUAAUACCGCAUACGACCUACGGGUGAAAGCGGUGGAGCUUCAGACCUUGCGCGAUUGAAUUAGCCGAUGUCGGAUUAGCUAGUUGGCGGGGUAAAGGCCCACCAAGGCAACGAUACGUAGCUGGUCUGAGAGGAUGAUCGGCCACACUGGAACUGAGACACGGUCCAGACUCCUACGGGAGGCAGCAGUGGGGAAUCUUCGACAAUGGGCGAAAGCCUGACCCAGCAACACCGCGUGGGUGAAGAAGGCCUUCGGGUUGUAAAGCCCUUUUGUUGGGAAAGAAAAGCAGCAGGUUAAACCCCCGCUGUUCUGACGGUACCCAAAGAAUAAGCACCGGCUAACUUCGUG
rnacentral:rRNA from 1 species